CACGGUAGACAAGACCAAACCCAAUUUCAAUAUUUCCCUCUCAUUCUCUUUUUCAAAUUCAUUUAGCUUCCUCCUUCUCUCUCCACACUAAGCCUCCGAUAUUCCCUUCUCUCUUCUUAGCAUUCCACAGAUUUUUGAGCAACCAAGUCUAGACAACCUAUUAUGAUUUGCGACUUAAAACCCGAACAAAAUGUUUGGAAGAUAGCUAUUUGUGUCGAUGUAUGGGACGUCAAGGGACACAAAGGCCAGCAGCAUGUUGAAGCUAUUAUUCAAGAUGCAAAGACUGAUCAAAUCUAUGUUGUAACCCGCUCCCGUGACUUUGAUGUUUGGAAGAAGACCUUGCAGGAAAUGCAAACCUACAUGAUUGGAUUUUAUAAUUUCUGGAAUGUUGCUUAUAUUGUGUAAAAAAUUUAUUAUUAUUUUGCUCUGACCAUUACAGAUUUUUGGAGGGUAAUCAUGAUCACACUCCUUCCCAAUCAUUAUCUCUCAACUCAUGUUCCUAGGGAGGUUUCGACGACAGGGUUUUCUCCUUCACAAAGGAUGUCAAAAGCAUUGCGGAUAUGAUCACUCUAACUGAAGAUUCAGGAAUCACAUGUUGAAUGUUGUUAGAGGGUUCUCAAUAUCAAAUUAAAAUGGAUUGUUCAUACAUUCAUGCUUUGCUCACUGCCAAUCUGAGAGACCAGACACAUGGUUUGUUGACAACUCUCCUGUCAUUGGAAACAAGGCAAUUGCUCUGGCCGUGGGAGACUGGUAUUUUGACCGAGCUGGUGUUAAGGACAUAGAUUGUCCUUACCCUUGUGAGAACACAUGCCACCAUUAGUAUAAUAACCUAAAAGAUGAUGUUGGAGCAGCAGAGGAACAACAAAAAGAAGCUGAAGUCGAACCAAAGGCUCUUCGAACAUUGACAUGGAGAAUGAUUUUGACCCAAGAAUAAAUGUGAAAGCAAUUAUAGGAAAUCAGUCUUCCUGCCAAAGCAAUUAUAGGAAGCAAGCACUUCAUUGAAAGCAAAGAUGUAGUAUCAUUUGUGUUUUUAUUUUGAAAUAUGGUGUUGGUUAUUCCCUAAGUUGUGAAGAGUGUGAUAAACAUGAUGCUCAUUAGUGGAAAAGCCAUAAAAUUUGUGUGUUGGAUUCUUUGACAGUCAAAAGAAAAAGCUUAUAGAAUCCAAUGGAAUUGGAUCUCAA